rnacentral:rRNA from 1 species
UCGAGAAUCUUCGGCAAUGGGCGCAAGCCUGACCGAGCGACGCCGCGUGCGGGAUGAAGGCCUUCGGGUUGUAAACCGCUGUCAGUGGGGAGGAAAUCUCUAGGGGUUCUCUCCUAGAGUUGACCUAUCCGCAGAGGAAGUCCGGGCUAAGUUCGUGCCAGCAGCCGCGGUAAGACGAACCGGACAAACGUUAUUCGGAAUUAUUGGGCUUAAAGGGUGCGUAGGCGGUGCGGUAAGUCGGGUGUGAAAUCCCUCGGCUCAACCGAGGAACUGCGCCUGAUACUGCCGUGCUUGAGGGAGACAGAGGUGAGCGGAACUGAUGGUGGAGCGGUGAAAUGCGUUGAUAUCAUCAGGAACACCAGUGGCGAAAGCGGCUCACUGGGUCUCUUCUGACGCUGAGGCACGAAAGCUAGGGUAGCGAACAGGAUUAGAUACCCCUGUAGUCC